CACGUAGGGUGCAAGCGUUGUCCGGAAUUAUUGGGCGUAAAGGGCUCGUAGGCGGUCCGUCACGUCGGGAGUGAAAACUCGGGGCUCAACCCCGAGCCUGCUUUCGAUACGGGCGGACUAGAGGUAGGUAGGGGAGAACGGAAUUCCUGGUGUAGCGGUGGAAUGCGCAGAUAUCAGGAGGAACACCUGUGGUGUAGACAGCUUACUGGACCAUAACUGACGCUGAGGCACGAAAGCCAGGGGAGCAAACGGG
rnacentral:rRNA from 1 species